GACGAACGCUGGCGGCGUGCUUAACACAUGCAAGUCGAACGGAAUGGCCCUUCGGGGUCCUCGAGUGGCGAACGGGUGAGUAACACGUGGGUGAUCUGCCCUGCACUUUGGGAUAAGCCUGGGAAACUGGGUCUAAUACCGAAUAGGACCACGCGCUUCAUGGUGUGUGGUGGAAAGCUUUUGCGGUGUGGGAUGGGCCCGCGGCCUAUCAGCUUGUUGGUGGGGUAAUGGCCUACCAAGGCGACGACGGGUAGCCGGCCUGAGAGGGUGACCGGCCACACUGGGACUGAGAUACGGCCCAGACUCCUACGGGAGGCAGCAGUGGGGAAUAUUGCACAAUGGGCGCAAGCCUGAUGCAGCGACGCCGCGUGAGGGAUGACGGCCUUCGGGUUGUAAACCUCUUUCAAUAGGGACGAAGCGCAAGUGACGGUACCUAUAGAAGAAGCACCGGCCAACUACGUG
rnacentral:rRNA from 1 species